rnacentral:rRNA from 1 species
AAACCAACAGGGAUUGCCUCAGUAACGGCGAGUGAAGCGGCAACAGCUCAAAUUUGAAAUCUGGCCCCUUCGGGGUCCGAGUUGUAAUUUGCAGAGGGUGCUUUUGGUGUUGGCCGUGGUCUAAGUUCCUUGGAACAGGACGUCACAGAGGGUGAGAAUCCCGUACGUGGCCGCCGGCCCUCGCCUUGUAAAGCCCCUUCGACGAGUCGAGUUGUUUGGGAAUGCAGCUCUAAAUGGGAGGUAAAUUUCUUCUAAAGCUAAAUACCCGCCAGAGACCGAUAGCGCACAAGUAGAGUGAUCGAAAGAUGAAAAGCACUUUGGAAAGAGAGUGAAAAAGCACGUGAAAUUGUUGAAAGGGAAGCGCUUGCGGCCAGACGUGCCCGCGGUUGUUCAUCUGGGCUCUCGCCCGGUGCACUCCUCCGCGGGCAGGCCAGCAUCAGUUUGGGCGGUCGGACAAAGGUCUCUAUCACGUACCACCCCUCGGGGUGGCCUUAUAGGGGAGACGCAACACGGCCAGCCUGGACUGAGGUCCGCGCAUCUGCUAGGAUGCUGGCGUAAUGGCAGCAAGCGGC